UAAGCCCUAGGAUACCCACAUGCCUUUUA
rnacentral:misc_RNA from 1 species